ACAAUGUCCGCUCUAGCUCGUUGACACUUAAUUGAAAGAAGUAACAAACAAAGGUAACAAAUAACUUUCAUAAUACUCACGUAAUAUUCUCCCCACCAAAUUUCACCUAAGCCAACACGCAGCAUCACACGUCACAAGUAUACACAACAGACGAAAUCCCCAAGGUGAUAAUGAACGCCAAUCCAAAUUCUACAAGGAUGAGAAGGCAGUGAUAUUCGUUCAUGUGCCUCCUCUAUGGCAUCUGUAAAUGAUUCCAGGCGUUUCAGAACCCGGGCAACAGCACUUGGACAGUGGAUUGCUGAAAGGAAAAACACCAAGUUGGUACUGCAAGAAAAGGCAACUACAGCCAAUGAUGGCGAAGAUGAAAAAUCCUUUCUACACUACCCUGUCUCACAACAACAG